rnacentral:tRNA from 1 species
GCCGCCAUAGCUCAGUCGGUUAGAGCGUGCGUCUAAUAAGCCCAAGGUCGCAGGUUGGACCCCUGCUGGCGGCA